CUUUCGCUUCAUGCCUCCGCCACAUAAUGGCAUAUCUUUAUGUGAAACAAUUUACAGUUUGUUGAUUGAUUGGGGGAUUGAAAAGAAAUUGUAUUGCAUGACUUUAGAUAAUGCAUCGGUAAAUGAUGUUUUUGUUGACAUGCAAAGAUCCAACUUAAUUUGAAUAAUGCACUUUACUCAGAUGGUGAAUUCUUUCAUGUCCGAUGUUGUGCUCAUAUUCUUAACUUAAUUGUACAAGAGGGAUUAAAGGAGAUAGAUGAACCCAUCUCUAAAGUUCGUGAAAGUAUUAAAUAUGUGAGAGGUUCACAAGUUCGGAAACAAAAAUUUUUGGAAUGUGUUAGACAAGUUUCUUUGGACAGUAAAAAAGGCUUAAGGCAAGAUGUUCCUACAAGAUGGAAUUCAACCUUUUUGAUGCUAGAUAGUGUUCUCUUUUACCGUCGUGCCUUUCUUCAUUUGAAAUUAAGUGACUCUAAUUACAAGCAUUGUCCAUCUGAAGAGGAGUGGGGUAAAGUUGAGAAGAUUAGCAAGUUGUUGAGUGUUUUCUAUGAUGCUACUUUAGUAUUCUUCGGAGCUAAAUAUCCUACAUCAAACUUAUAUUUUCCUCAAGUUUUCUUGAUUGAGCUUACUUUAAGGCAAGAGAUUCAGAGUGCAGAUGCUUUCAUACAAAGAAUGACACGGCAGAUGUAUCAAAAAAUUUGAAUAGUAUUGGUCGGAUCAUAGCUUAAUCUUGGCCAUGACAGUUAUUUUGGAUCCUCGGUACAAAUUUCAGUUUGUGGAUUACUGUUAUAAGAAGUUGAAUGGGUAUGGUUCUACUGAGAGCAUGUACAUCUGUGAUUGUAUGUUUUCUCUCUUUAAUCAGUAUAUGAUUCUAAAACUCCAACUGCUAGCACAUCAACUCAUGGAGAUGUAGAGACCGGUACAUCUUCUGAAACUUUCGAAGCAUUUAGAAAAGCAGAUGCUUUUAAGGAUUUUGAUACAUUUGAAAGAUUUGAUUUUGUGACUACUGCACAGAAGUCUCAAUUGGAAUUAUAUUUGGAUGAGCCUAGAGUUGAUAGGAUGUCCGAUUUGGAUAUCCUUGAUUUUUGGAAAAUCAAACAGUCUCAUUAUCCUCAACUUUCUCUUAUGGCACGUGAUAUUCUAACUAUUGCAAUAUCUACGGUCGCCUCUGAAUCUGCUUUUAGUAUCGGUGGGCAAGUACUUGAUAAGUAUCGUAGUGCUCUUAAACCAGAUAUUGCUGAGGCCUUGAUUUGUACUCGAGAUUGGGUGUUUGAAAAGAAAGAUGUUGAGGAGGCCGAGUUAGAUGAGAUUGUAGAAGAUGUCAUAAACUCAAGUUUCUACAAUGAAACUCAAUCAACUCAAUGCUCGGCCAAUGUUGAAUCCAAUUCAUAAUGAGAUGAAUCAUGAUCAUGGAUACUCCUUUUUGGUUUUGGUUUAAAUAUGGAUGUUGUUAUAGUUUGGGACUUUU